UGUAAAUGCGCUUAUCCCUCUCGCCUCACUCUAAACUUCUUUGAGAGCCUCAAACCUUCACCUAGAUCCCAUCGACAAAAAAAAAAUUAUAAAAAAAAUUCAAACUCUGUAUACUCUUAAGAAAAAACCCAAAAAAUCUCAGAAAUAGAGUUGAUUUAUUGAUUUGGGAUCAAACAAUGUUGUGUAGAGGGACGUUUCAAGCUGGCAAUGUUGCCAUUGGAGAUCAUAAUGAGUGUUACAAGAGAUUUUUCAAUUCAGUUUCAAUUGGGUGUAGAAAAUCGUUUGUUUCAUCUUGUUCGGUUGGGGCAAGGUCUGGUCCGGUGCUGGCGGUAGCUACUAAUGAGACGACUAAGACUAAGCAGAUGGCGUAUGAGCCAAGUCUUGCGGAUCGAUUGAGAUUGGGGACUAUGUCGGAGGAUGGAAUGUCGUAUAAGGAGAAGUUUAUUGUUAGGUGCUAUGAGGUUGGGAUUAACAAAACUGUAACUGUUGAAACUAUCGCCAAUCUCUUGCAGGAGGUUGGAUGCAACCAUG
rnacentral:misc_RNA from 1 species